UACGUAGGGUGCGAGCGUUAAUCGGAAUUACUGGGCGUAAAGCGUACGCAGGCGGCUUUGCAAGACAGGUGUGAAAUCCCCGGGCCUAACCUGGGAACUGCAUUUGUGACUGCAUGGCUAGAGUUUGCCAGAGGGGGGUGGAAUUCCACGUGUAGCAGUGAAAUGCGUAGAUAUGUGGAGGAACACCGAUGGCGAAGGCAGCCCCCUGGGAUGUGACUGACGCUCAUGUACGAAAGCGUGGGGAGCAAACAGG
rnacentral:rRNA from 1 species